rnacentral:lncRNA from 1 species
AGAGCACAGAUGAUGUCUCAAUCAUCAUUGUGUCCGCAAUGUCAAGAAAGCACAAUUCUCAUCACAUAGCAAGUCCUCCAGAAAUAGACUGGAACACGGAUAACAAAUACCUGCUGGGUUUGCUGCCACUACUACUUAAUCCUUCCUCUAUAGCUGGCAUUGCUAAUCACUCAUGACACUUUCCUGCUGAGCCCACAUGUAGACUCAGAUGGCUACAGGCAGUAACCACCAAUUGAUCAGAGCUGGCACACAAGAUGGAACCUAUUUGCAAUCCCUGGUCUAGAACAUUGUACCAUCUCUACUGAGCUGCUGCUUUGGGACUGACUUUACCAGGAGGCUCACCACAGGGGGUUGGAGUAGUCCUAGAAGGUGAAUAAAUGGCAGAGCCCACAUGGCAUACAAGAGGACAAGGUUUGUCACUCACAGGUUCUGGAAGGAAAGGUACAAGGAGCUGACAUGAACCUGAUUUUUAACCUGAAGCAGACAGAGUUGGGACCAGCUGGCCUGCAGUCCUGUGAGCAAGAAAUCGAUGUGCAUACUCAUGAGUAAACCAUAAACAUUUGCUGUUAUAACCCAGGAAGCUUUGGGAGUUGAUUUUUAUGUGGUGUUAUGGCAACAAUUGUUGAUGAAUGUGGGUAUACAGUAUUGGAAGUUCUCAUGUGUCUUUGAUGGCCAGCCUCUCAGUGCUUACAGAGCUCCUCAGCCUCACCAGAUAUUUCCCACUUGAAUAAUGAAGUUGUAUGGUUGGGAAUAGACAUUUUGGCUAUUUGGGUCAAUAGGUUUAGGACCUUUGGAGGAUUCAAGACUGGUAGAAAACCACAGCAUGGUCUAAGAUGCAGGUGUUCAUGCCUGCAGAAGCCCAUGAUUAGACCCAACUGGAGGAAGUUUGGAGCUUCUCUCAGACAUGUAAGAAUUGUUCUGAAGAAUCUGCAUCUUGUUGGGUGAAGGACUUCAGAAUGUGCAAUAAAAAUGCAAUAGUCUUGGACCUAUGUAACUGGAAGGAACUGGUGGACAAGCUCUUACUGCUUCUCCAGGUUCUCACAAGAAAGCAGGCAUGGAUUCCUUUUGCACAGCUCCUCCAGGCUUUCUGGGCCCUGUCAUUCCUUCUUCUAUCUUCUGGGUUGAGCAACAUGCAAUCUCCCCUUGUGCAGAAGCCCAAAUAGCUACUGAAAAUGUGUCCUCUCUGACUUUCCCCAUUUCUUGAACUCUGAGAGACUUUUUCUAGUAUCAGUUCUGAGGAGCAUUGCUGUUUUCCUUCCUAUCAUCUGGAAGACCUAGACUUUAAAACUCAAAACCUGAGAAAAACUUCCUUUUUUUUCUCUCUUUUGUCUGGAUCAUCACUACCUUGAAAUACUAAAUUAGCAAAGUCCUAACUAGAAACUGAAUUGGCUAAAGAGUCAAGGAGCAACAGGUAAUUCCAAGAAAAACAACAGCAAACUUACAUCAGUUAACAUUUCAAAGCUAUUUUCCUUUGCAAUUUUGUGUAUCUGUUUUUAUGGAAUGCAAGAGAUAAUAGGCUAAAUGCUAUUUUGCAUAUGUGUUACAUUGGAUUUCUCACAUAUUCUACUACUUAACUCAAGAUGUUGAGUAAAUAAAUGAGUUAAUAAACUGGAAUUUCUAUAUCAGCUCUUGGUUCUAGUUAUGUUUCGUUUGUUUUGGAUUUUUUUUCUUUUUGAAUGCUUAUUCACUGGCCCAGCUGUAUUUAUGCCUAGAUUAACCAGAUACAUUGCCA